rnacentral:SRP_RNA from 1 species
UCUGGGCAUGGUGGCAUGUGCCUGUACUCCCAGCUACUUGGGAGGCUGAGGUAGGAGGGUCGCUUGAGCCCAGGAGGUUGAGACUAUGCCAAUUGGGUGUCUGCACUAAGUUCGGCGUCAAUAUGGUGACCUCCCGGAGCAGAGGACCACCAGGUUCCCCAAGGAACGGUGAGCUGGCCCAGGUUGGAAACGGAGCAGUCAAAACUCCCAUGCUGAUCAGUAGUGGGAAUGAGCCUGUGAAUAGCCACUUCACUCCCACCUAGGCAGCACAGCAAGAUCCCAUCUUU